ACCAGAGGCUGGGUCUAAUUAGUUGAGAAGCAGUGACACCCCCAACCACUCCCCAAACAGGCUGGCUCCCGUCUCCAGGCCCCAAGGAGCCACACCUGGACCAGACCCCAGGAAAGGUAAGCACCAACGGCAGACCUGGGAUCCGUGGGUGGGGGCCUCUGGGAAUUUCCCUAGGGGGAUGCUGCAUCUGGGGGUCUUGCUGUCUUGCUAACUGGCUCUGUCCCUUUCUGGACACAGAUUCUCUGGGUCUCAGUUUCCCCAUCUGUACAGGGGCUGGAGUCGAUGAUCUCUAAGCAUCCAUCCAGCUGAUCGGCUCUAGUUCUAUGGUCCUGUUGGCUUCUAGGAUUCCUUGUUGUUGUAGUCAAUUGGGGGAAGAAGGUGCAGAGGGAGUGCACAGAGUUAACAUCCUAUCAGCCCAAGCUUCACCACGGCACCCGAGUCUCAGGCAGUCUCCCUGGCUUCUACAUAGGCAGUGCUUCUUCCUCAUUGUAUGGGGCUUUGAUUUUGUAAUUCCAAGAGCCUGGGGCUCCUGGCAAGGAAAAUGGUUUUCAAAUAAUGGUUUCGAGAAACAAAGCUGGGGAAGAGGCAAUGUAAGCUCAGGCUCUGGCAGGCAGGCAGAGAUCCUGGGAAGGCUGGGUGCUGACUGCACAUGGAGCAAUGGGAAGGGAUGCUGGUGAGAGGAGACGGGGGCACUUAAGCUCCGGCCCCAGCUCUGCUCUCAGUGCCCGGCUCUGUGGUCUUGGGCUGGCCCACUCCCUUCUCUGGGCCAUAGUUUUCCCAUCUGUAUAGCAAGGCCAUUGGACAAAAUGGUCCCUCUGCAGAUGUGGCUUCUGAGUUGUUUGUGCCUGAGGGACAGCCAGUGUUGGGAAGUUCCCCCAGGAGGUCCCUGAGCCGAGUCUGAACUUUGACCACAAGCUUGGAGUCCAAGCAGAUGAAGUCCUGUGGGAGCUUUUGGAGGUUGAGCCUGAGUGAGGGAGAGUAGCUGAAGGUUCUGUGACUGAAGGCUUGGCCAGAGGGGUGCCCCGAGGCCUCCAGAUGAACUUGGCUGCAACCAGCCUCUGGUGGGGAAAGGACUGAUCUCUGGAUUCAACCACACAGGAAUGUGGGACAUGGAAGUAGGUAAGGGAUGGAAAAGACAGCAGAGGGCUUCGCGGGUUGAAGCAGUGGGGCCAGGGGACUUAGAGGAAUGCAGGAGGCAUGGGCCACUGCACUCAGCCAACACCUAUCCUUGAGGAAUAGAAAGAUCCAGGCUCCACACCACACACCAUCACUGACUCGAGUGGCUGUUCUGAUUCCCAGCUGAGCCUGAGGGGUUCGGGGAGGUAAUCUCUGAGGUCCUCACUGCUGGGCCGUGCCUGGGCAUGGCCUCUUCCUGCAAUUUUCCAACUAAACUCUCCGGGGGGCUCAGCGCCAUGGGGUGGUUCGAAGAACCAUGAUGAAGGCUGGUUCGAAUUGUGAUGACCAUUUUUGUCCACAUCUCCUAGGACCCAUAAGCCAGAGUUUCUCUGGAGCUUAUACCUAGAAGGGGUUCUGGGUCCUGGAGUGCAGGCCUGUCAACUUUACAGGAGAGCACUAGAUUGCUUUCUGAAGCGGCUGAACCAGGUUUUGCUUCCAUCAGCUGUGUAUGAGCAUCCCCAUCUUCUUGACCACACUUGAAGUCAUCAGUUUCCUUGAAGCAUAUGGGUUGCACACUUCAUUUUGCAUGUAUCAAAUUUAUAUAAUAAAAAAUGUAAGGAAGCCAUGGAAAUAAAAAUGUAGGUGUGCCUUCUGUAGGCUGCUAUGCUCCUGUGCACGAGGGCGUCUAGAACUUUGCCCUCCAUGCACAAGUUGCAGAGCACCCUCAUCAGGACAUUUACGAAGGCCCUGGGGUGGGAUGGGCACUGCCUAUGUGGCCCUCCCCCAGCCCAGCAGUAUGCAGUGGCCCGGGUCCAAUCAAAGAUCGCCUGGGAGGGUGAGUUGCAAGAAUCUGGGGAAAAGAGCCCAAGGUGGCUGCCGCCUGCUAACAGCUUGUCUAGACAGGCCCCAUGGGGCUUCACCGCACAUUGCGAGAGCUCUGGCCAGCCCCCUGCCCACUUGCAAAAGAGGCUGUUGGCAGCAACACUUCACCACUAGAAACCUUUACUCCAAUUCGAAACAUGCCUUAAUGCACAGUGUGAAUUACCCACUCUCGUGGCCCACAGAGGUUGACUCAUUCAGGCCCCCUUUUGUUCAGAUGAGGAAACUGAGGCUGACUCCGAAGCCUGGGGGCUUUCAGAUGUGGAGUGGGUCCCGGUGUCCAGGUGAUGAGGGGACCAGGUGGGUCUGGAGCAGGGCUGGAGUGGGGCUCAGAUGUAGUAGGCUGGCAGUUAAAGGUGCCAGAUGUGAGCCAGGCUGCUGGGUUUGAAUCCUGGAUCUGCCUCAUAGCAGCAGUAGGACUUUGGGUAACUUACAUAGGUGCUGUAUGCUUCAGUGACCUCAUCUGUAAUAUAGAGAUGAUAAGAGUACCUGUCUCACUGGUCUACUAAGUUGUCUGGAUUAACUCAUUAAAUGAGUUAAAACUCAUGAAGCCCUUGGAACUGUGACUGACACAUAGUAAGUACUCAAUAAAAAAUAACUGCUAAGACCAGCCACAGUGGCUCACACCUGUAAUCUGAGCAUUCUGGGAGGCCAAGGCGGAAGAAUCCCUUGAGCCCAGUAUUUCAAGACCAGCCUAAAGGUCAACAUAGGCAGACUCUGUCUCUACUAUACAUUUUUAGAUUAAAUUUUUAUAAUAAUAAUAACCACUAAAAUGUGAUUACUAAAGACAGCUUCUUCACAGUACAAAGAGAUGCUUUUCUGAGUACCAACUCUUUGGAGGAUAAACUGCCCUUAUACCUUCAAAAAUAACACUUGCCAUAUAUCAAGUCCUUUCAAGUACCUGGACAUUUACCCAGCACUCUGAGAUAAAUACCAUUAUCCUUCUGGGCACACAAAGGCUCAGAGAGGUUUAGUCAUUUGCCCAAAGUCACACAGCCUGUACGAGGCCAAGCUGGGACUCAAACUCAGUUCUGACUGAUUCUAAAAUCAUGUGUUUAACUGCUGCACUCUAGGACCACCCACAAUGGAUCUGUGAACCAGAACCAGCUCUGGUUCUGACCUGCUUAGUAGGGCCUUUGGCAUUUGGGGGAGGAGGCCAUUGGAAGUCCGAAGCCCCCUUCCAGAUUAGGCAUGAUUGCAGUAAGAGAAGAGACAGACCCUUUGGCCCCCUACCCCUGCUCAGGCUCAAAAAUGCAGACCCUGCCAAAACAGUCCUUCUCACCCAGAAGCACCCCAUAGGGUGGGCUGAGUAACCUUGGGGGCCUCGUCAGUCUUGGGCUGCCCCAUGCCCUGCACAGCCCACCUGAGGUUUGAGGAAGGGGCAGUUGGCUAGGCCCAGACUGGAGAAAGCCACCCCACCAUGGCCCUUCUGCAAGAACCCCCGGCCAGCCACAAGCCUAACCCCCCUCCUUAAAAGCUCCUCCUCUGACCUUAGCUGUGCAUCAAGGGAGAAAAGAAAGCUCCAGGCCGGGCGCGGUGGUUCACACCUGCAAUCCCAGCACUUUGGGAGACCAAGGCUGGCAGAUCAUUAGGUCAGGAGUUCGAGACCAGCCUGGCCAGCAAGGUGAAACCCCAUCUGUACUAAAAUUACAAAAAAUUAGUCAGGCAUGGUGGCACGUGCCUGUAGUCCCAGCUACUCUGGAGGCUGAGGCAGGAGAAUUGCUUGAACCCAGGAGGCGAAGGUUGCAGUAAACCGAGAUCACGCCACUACACUCCAGCCUGGGCGACAGAGCAAGACUCUGUCUCAAAAAGAAAAAAAAAGAAAGCUCCAAACUGCUCUGCUGCCACAUACUCUACUCCUCCUCUCCCUCCAAGGAGGCAGGGAUGGGGGUGGAGUGUCUAGAGGGAGGCUGCCUGCUGGCCUGGGGAUGGAUCCACAGAGGCUAUGACACCACCCCUGGCUGGGCUACUGGGCUCAGAGGCCCCCGGUCAGCCUGCCCAGAGCCUGCCAGCCACCAGGCAUGUGACCCAACAACCCCGAUGAGCUGAGCAAGGCAGGGUGAAGGAGAAAGAGGCCGGCUAGGACCAGGCCCUGGCUCUGCAGCCAGCACACCUGGGUAAGUGUCCCACUCCUCUGGGGCCUCAGGCCAUAAUGUUCCCUGGUUUGGGACAGAGGGGACAGCUGAGGUCAUUCCAUGUGUGACAGUAGACACCUGGAUUCUCAGAGAGGGAACAUCUAAGGAGCUAGGGGCGCGCCCUGGAUAGACAGAGAAGAUGGCAUUCCAGGUGGAGAGCUCUGUGUACAAAGGUAUGGAGGCAGGACUGCAGAGGCAUUUUCAGACAACAGCAGAGAAGCCCAGUUGGCUGGAACCGAGAGUUGGUCUGAAGCUCAGUGAGGCUGGAGGUCGGCGAAGCAGAGAAGGCCUAGAGUGUGCGGUGGCUUUGGCAACAGAAACCAAAGCCUCAGAGCUUGGGAAAAGUUCUCCUUGGUAUCUGUCUGUCCCUGGGAGGGGGUGCCUUUCUUUAGCCUAUUUGUCCCCCUCCCCAAAAUACCAUCAGCCAAGAACCCCAGUGCAGGGCAGAGACCUAGGAAUUUGGAUAAUGGGCAACUCUGAGAUGUCAGGCAAUGGGGAAAGGAGAGCUCAGGUGGGACUAGGAGGGGUAGGAAGCCCGAGGGCUGCAGUCACCAUCUUCAGACCGCUCCAGAGCUUCCUGGGGAGCAGGAACAGAGGACAGGGCAUGAAGUCCAGAAAGGCAGAUGGCAGCAGAAUACUAGGAAGACACCUCCAAUAGUCUGUCCAAAGAGGGUGAGGGGAUUAGGAAGUACAGACAUAUCCUGAGUUACAAUUUUCUAUUUUAAAAUGCUAUGAAAGCUAUAUGCAUUUGGUACCCUCCUCAACUUAUGACACAGUUGUGAUGGGGUUAUAAGGUUACUUCGGAUAAACCAACUCUAUAUUGAAAAUAUCGCAAGUCAAAAAUACACGUUCGGGCCAGGCGCGGUGGCUCACACCUGUCAUCCCAGCAGUUUGGGAGGCCGAGGCGAGCAGAUCAGGAGUUGAGGAGUUCAGGAGUUCAAGACCAGCCUGGCCAACGUGGCAAAUACCCAUCUCUACUAAAAAAAA
rnacentral:lncRNA from 1 species